GGCUCGGUGAUGUGGACGUGCCGCAAGGUACGCACUGCUUGAUCGAGUCUUUCCUUCUGGGAAAUCGGUAUGCUCUUCACUGAGUGUGCCGGGUACCCAGGACUUUUACUUUGAAAAAAUUAGAGUGUUUAAAGCAGGCUAACGCUUGAAUACAUUAGCAUGGAAUAAUGAAAUAGGACG
rnacentral:rRNA from 1 species